UACCUGGUUGAUCCUGCCAGUAAUCAUAUGAUUGUCUCAAAGAUUAAUCCAUGCAUGUGUAAGUAUGAACAAAUUCAGACUAUGAAACUGCAAAUGGCUCGUUAAAUUAGUCGUAGCUUGUUUGAUGGUUCUUGCUGCUCGGAUAACUAUAGUAAUUCUAGAGCAAAUAAGUGCAACAAACCCAACUUCUGGAAAGGACCCAUUUAUUGGUUGACACGGGUUUUGCCCAUUGCUAUGAUGAUUCAUGAUAACUCGACAAAUCGCACAGCCUUUGUGUUGGCGAUGCAUCACUCAAAUUUCUGCCCUAUCAACUUUUGAUGGUAGGAAAGUGGCCUACUACGAUGGUGACGGGUGAUGAAAAUUAGGGUUCGAUUCUGGAGAGGGAGCCUAAGAAACGACUACCACAUCCAAAGAAGGUAGUAGGGGCACAAGUUACCUAAUCCUGGUACAGGGAGGUAGUGACAAUAAAUAACAAUAUCGGGCUCUACGAGUGUGGUAAUUGAAAUGAGUACAAUCUAAAUCCCUUAACGGGGAUCCAUUGGAGGGUGUAAACUGAAAAAUAUAUAGGAUUUUUCCUAUGUAAUUUAUCACCUUUUUACUUAAAUUCGUUGUUAAAACUAAGUAAUUAUUUAAUAAAUUAAUGAAAUAUCUAAAAAUAUGAAAUUAGGACAUAGAAAUUAUUAAAAUGUGAUUUUAUG
rfam:Gossypium arboreum cultivar AKA8401 contig_45972_5, whole genome shotgun sequence.